GAGAUUGUCAUGCACUGAUACUCUUGAAGAAUGAAUAAAUCCUAACUCUCAAAACCCUUCCUGUCUGAACACCGGAACCCAAUAGACUUGGGUUAUGCAUGUAAUGAGAGAAGACUUCUGCUUAUCCCC